GCCCAUCUAGCUCAGUCAGUAGAGCAUGAGACUCUUAAUCUCAGGGUUGUGGGUGAAGGGCU
rnacentral:tRNA from 1 species